rnacentral:lncRNA from 1 species
GUUCUAUGGCGAUCUUUGUAGUUUAUGUAUUCCAAUGGAACCCUAGCUCCUCUAGAGAGCUUGGAUAGAACAUUAAUGAAGUCUUCAAGAUUUGAAACGUCUUCAUUGGCUAAUCUCUUAAUAAUGGCAUGCUGUUGGACCCCUGCUUUAUGAAGCAUUUACCCAGGUUUUGAUACAUAUACAAGACCACAGGGAAAACGAAAAUUCCUAGCUUGUUGAUACGAGAGCGGGUGUAUAACCCCACCACUAACUUCCAAAAAGUAGUUUGGAGU